rnacentral:rRNA from 1 species
UACGUAGGUGACCAGCGUUGUCCGGAUUUACUGGGCGUAAAGAGUGUGUAGGCGGUGUUCUAAGUCUGGUGUGAAAUCUCCCGGCUCAACUGGGAGGGUGCGCUAGAAACUGGAAUGCUAGAGGAUGGGAGAGGUAAGCGGAAUUCCUGGUGUAGCGGUGAAAUGCGUAGAUAUCAGGAGGAACACCUGUGGUGUAGACAGCUUACUGGACCAUUUCUGACGCUGAGACACGAAAGCGUGGGUAGCAAACAGG